rnacentral:misc_RNA from 1 species
UUUUUUUUUAAAAAAAAAAAUUAAAAUAGUUAAUGAACUACGCUUAAAGCAGUCCCCAAUCCAUAGACCCAUACCUUUAUGGCACAGCAAACUUUUAUUCUUUGUUUGGCAAGUUGGUUUUCUAUUAUGUGGAUUUAAGAGUUUUUCUUUUCAAUUUUUGUAAAGAAAAAGGUCCCAAAUCCACGCAACUCCAAAUCAGUGCACCAACUACAUCUUUAUCAAAAGAGAAUCGUCCCUCAUCACAUAUGCCAAUAUAAAUAGUAUUUAAAAAAAUCUCAUUUCCACAAUUACUGCUUGCAGCAAUCCUAAUAACCACUGCAAAGUUCACAGUUAACAUGAACCUCAAUAACAGUGGAAACGAGAUAAAAUAGCAUUUAUGAUCACUUUAAGAAAUACCCAUUUCAAAAUAAUCCAAACCCAACCUUUCCUUUAGCUUCUCUUAGCUUACAUUUAAAUCUCAGAUAUGAGAAACAAGAUUAUAAAAACUCAAGCAGCAAAUACACAACUAAUAAAAUAAAAUAACUAACCAUUUCUAUCUUUAUAAGGAAAAAAAAAUCUCAAAACCAAGAUCUAGACAUAAAAGAAGGGACAGAAGAUUGAAACUAAAAACAAUCAAUCCAUGUAGAUCUGAGCUUGACGAACAAAGGGAAGAACUUGAAAUAUGAAUAAAAACAAGAUAGAGAGAUACUGCAUGAUCUUACCGAUGAUACAUGAUUGAUCGGAGAAGGAAAAAUCGAAAUAAAAAAAAAAAAAAGUGAUUCAAAUAAAAUCCUCUACUCUUCUCCCUCUGCAAUUAAAAGAAUGGACAAAUUGUUA